UGACCCUGCUUGCACAGAGGGUUGGACCAAAUGAUCUCCAGAGGUGCCUGCCAACCCCAACUAUGCUGUGAUUCUGUGACCCUGGAUAUUGCAG